AUAAACCGCUUUCGCAGACGCGCGGCGAUACGCUCACGCAGAGUUCCCCG
rnacentral:sRNA from 1 species